rnacentral:rRNA from 1 species
AGUGAACGCUGGCGGUAGGCCUAACACAUGCAAGUCGAACGGCAGCACAGUAAGAGCUUGCUCUUACGGGUGGCGAGUGGCGGACGGGUGAGGAAUACAUCGGUAUCUACUUUUUCGUGGGGGAUAACGUAGGGAAACUUACGCUAAUACCGCAUACGACCUACGGGUGAAAGCAGGGGAUCUUCGGACCUUGCGCGUUUGAAUGAGCCGUUGUCGGAUUAGCUAGUUGGCGGGGUAAAGGCCCACCAAGGCGACGAUCCGUAGCUGGUCUGAGAGGAUGGUCGGCCACACUGGAACUGAGACAGGGUCCAGACUCCUACGGGAGGCAGCAGUGGGGAAUAUUGGACAAUGGGCGCAAGCCUGGUCCAGCCGUACCGCGUGGGUGAAGGAGGCCUUCGGUUUGUAAAGCCCGUUUGUUGGGAGAGAAAAGCAGCAGGUUAAUAACAAGCUGUUCUGACGGUACCCAAAGAAUAAGCACCGGCUAACUUCGUG